GGCGCGGAGCAUGCUGUCCCUCCUGGCUAGAGCCGCCGCCGGGCCGCUCCGCUCGCUGGGCCGCUCGCCCUUCAGCUCGCUGCCCGGCCUCCUGCAGCUCUUCGCCGGGCUGAAGACGAAGACGACGCUCAGAAGGCGCUGUAAGGACUGCUUCAUUGUUCGCCGCAGGGGCCGGCUCUACGUUUGCUGCAAGACCAACCCCCGGCACAAGCAACGGAAGCUGUAGCGCCGCGGUCGCCGCCCGUCGGAGCGGUUGCCCAAAAGGGCUUUUCCGUGGAGCUCCUGAGAGGAGAGAAAUAAACGUGGUGUUUCUGUGUAAGGUUCUUGGCAGGCAAUGAGAAGCUGGAAAGUUGUGGCUAAAUAACCCAGAGGCAAUGGUUAUUGACUGGUCCCUAUGUGUCUGAGCACUUUGUCUUUUCAUUCACGUCUCACUACAGGAAAUGUGGAUUUGGAAAGAGAGGAACAGAGUCAUGAAAAGGGAACUUAUAUGAUAUGUUUAAAGGAACGACAAGACAGUAAAUACAAAGCAAUAAUCCAGGACUCAGUCUGGAGGAUGAAGAAUUCUAUCCUAAGAGAGAUGAAGAAUGUCAUCCUACCACAGCCAUGCACAGCAGUCUCAGGAGGAGCAAAUGGAUUAUAUCACCUUCCUGAAAGGAGAAAGAGGCUAAAGGUCUCUGAAGAUGAGGAAGAGCUCUGCAGGGAUGAGAAUGCUAGCUUGGGCUUGGGGACAUUUCCCCACCAUGAGAGUGCCUAUAACUUCUGUGCUCGGUGCCCCACAGCUCUGCCCCACAGCCUGCUUUACACAUGUGCCCCCAGACUUAGAGACUCAGGAAGGUACUCACCAACACUCUAUUCUCCAUCUUCCCAUGCCAUGGUGGCUCUAAAUAUGGUCUUCUGUGAGUUUUUCAUGUCACUUGACCUCAGGCAGAGGGAGAGCCUAUGUGGAAAGCUGGCAGGAGAGAACAGGCUGCCUGAAGGGAGUGGAUUUUCCAGGGCAUACUGUGGAGAUAUGUCGUAUUUCCAAACACGUCCCACACAGACAGCAGCCUGGCUUCAUGAAUCAUCUAACUGAGCAAGAAGAGAGCUGGAUAGACUGAGAUGCCAUGCCUCCAAGAGCGAGCUCAACACGACCUAGACAGUUUGGUUAUGACAGCUCAGCUUCCCGUCUUUGUCCCUUAGUGCAUGACAUCUUUCUGGCCUGACACUUCUAGCUUUCCCAGAUUAAAACUUCCUAUUUGGUGCUGAUGUUGGCUGCCGUUUAGUUGAUUACUUCUAGACUGUUCCUUUUGAUUUGAUGACCACCCAUGGCUCACAGCCAGAUAAGUUCACUGAUGGUAUUUACUGGCACAAGUGUACUUCAGCAUUUUCCCAUGACAAAUGCCACUAUUUCAGGGCCUCAUGGGUGCUCACAUGGCUGAAGAAAGAUCACACUGUGUUGUGUUUUGAUAAUGCUUUCAUGUUGCUGAAGCUCUCUAACAAACAGCAUCUGCCUUCUCCACAGCUGGCUAAUGGUACCUCUGCUCUCCAGAGAAGGCAGAUCUAUUACUUUCAGUUUCUUCAGUCUCCUUCAAACCACACAUACCUAAAAGCCAGCUAGCGGAGGGGAUGUUGGGGAGAGCUCCGUGUUAGAUAACUAAGGUUGCUAGUCAGACUAUAAUUUAACCAGUCCUGGGAGCCUGGUGUUAGCAGUUCAGCAUACUGUUUCCCUACACAGAGCAUGAUGAACAGACAAAUGGCUGUGUUUAGGCAGCAUUAUGAAAAUUAACUCUGGAAGUAGGCCCGGUGUCAUUGCUCACAGUAAUGGUAACAGCUACCAAACACUUGGCAUUUGCAGAGAUUCUCCAGCUGCUACCACUGGAGACUGUUUUUUCACAGCUUCCACACAAUGAUCUGAUUUCUUACACUGCAUUACAAGAACACACAUUUCUCACCAUAUGUGCAGAAGGCUGUGCAAGGAGCCUUUUUACUCAUAACAACAUCUGCAGAGUUUCAGACCAAAAGCUUAUUUCACUCUGUAUUGGUCAUUAAUGGACGCAUAGAGAGAAGACAUCAAAGAAAAGCAUGCGACAGUA
rnacentral:lncRNA from 1 species